UACGUAGGGGGCAAGCGUUGUCCGGAAUCAUUGGGCGUAAAGCGCGUGUAGGCGGUCCGGUAAGUCCGCUGUGAAAGUCGGGGGCUCAACCCUCGGAUGCCGGUGGAGUACUGUCGGGCUUGAGUACGGAAGAGGCGAGUGGAAUUCCGUGGUGUAGCGGUGAAAUGCGCAGAUAGUCAAGGAGGAACACCAAUUGCGAAGGCAGCUCGCUGGGACGUUACUGACGCUGAGACGCGAAAGCGUGGGGAGCAA
rnacentral:rRNA from 1 species